AGCACAAACUGGACUGUGAUUUGAAUGCAAAUGUUAGGAAAACCCCAGACAUAACUGCACGAUGAUGUCAGCCUGACCGGGACAGUCAGCAACCACCUCUCCUGUAGUACACCUGAGUCAAGCACAGCAUGGAAACGUAGCGGAGGCCGUCCUGCAGUGCGAGCACUCGUGCCCUGCCAGCUCACUGGCUGGGCGAAGGGGAGCAGGCAAGUCCCUUUAUAAAGUCAAGAAAACCUCAACCCUUUUCUCUGAAUACAGUUGUGACUUUAUUUCAUAUGACCUGCUGCC